GGUUAGGAGUGGAAGUUGUGUGAGCAAUGUAGCGGACUAAUACUAAUAGCUCGAAGACUUAUCCGAA
rnacentral:rRNA from 1 species